ACCUGGGAUCCGAACCGGUGAACCCUGGGCUGCUGAAGCAGAACGUUUGAACUUAACCGCUGCGCCACCAGGCUGGCUCCACCAGGCUGUUUCUAAGACAGCUCAGCCUGAGACUAUAGACCCCUGGGCCAGGUCUUCAAAGGCCCUCCUUACUAGAGUUUGAGCUGUGUGCGAGAACACACAUCAGGGUAUAGACAGAAAGAAUGUAUAUGGCUCUUGAGUAUGGCCAGUACAUUGCUGAUCUUGCCACCCCAGUGUCGUGCCCUGAGCCUGGCCCAGAGCAGGUGCUAGGUUAACACAGUGGCUGAAUGAACCUACCUUCUCUUCCCCAGGCUGGGCUCCUUUGGCUAUUGCAGUUGGCUUCCAGAAUCCAUCCCGAUCAUUGUGGAUUAAUGGCUUUUGCAGUCCAGUGAAGGUUAAUGAAACCAGUGCUUCAUAAUCAAUUCCUCCAUCCUGAUUUUGAGGGGUGUGCCAAGGGGCAGCUACAAACCAGUGAGUAAUAAUUACUUGGAAACAUGCUGAAUUCAGCAUUUUAUGUGACGAUCUGAUUUUUAUUUUGCAACCCAGUGUGUAAAGUGAAAGCCCAGAUGAGCAUCUGCUGCAUGUGAUUAGAGGCAGUGCAGUUCUGGGGAAAGAGGGCUGGUCUUGGAGUCCCCCUGGACCCGUGACCUUGGACGAGGUGCUCAGUGCCUCUGGGCUCCAGUUUUCUCUUGAGUAAAAUGAGAGCAUUAGACUCUAAGCUUCUUCCUAUGCUUAAUGUAAAUACUUAAAAAAUGGCUGGUUGCAUCUGAAGUCAACCCACCUUAAGUGCCUUUCAAGUGAUGAUUUGCUUGAAUAUGGUCUGUUUUCAUUGUUUAGCUUUUCUAACACCUUUCACUUAACCCUUCCACUGCCGGUGCCUUCCACAUUUGCAAGGUCUUCACCCUUCUUUUUGACUGCUUCUUCGGGUUCCAGUAAUUUAUGUUGGAUUCCAGUCAUUGAAUCACCUGCCCCUUUGCUCUGCCCGGAGUCUCUUUACUCCCCAGCAGUCUCAAUGCCCUGGCAAAGCAUAGAGAGAGGUCCUGGUCUCCCGUCUCUUCCAACCCCACAAUCCUCACUUCCCUGCGAAAACAAGUCUGAAAAAUCAGGCAGGUUUCUCUUCUGGAGAUUAUCACUCUCACCACUAGAUGGCACUGUAUGUAAGUCAUCAGUGCAGACAAAAACUUUAAUUUUAUUAAGUAUUUAUACUCCCCUUCAAUCCACAAAAACUUUGAAGGGAAUUAUAAAAGUACAAAAUAUACAAAAAGGUAAAGCGAAAAGCUGAGGGAAUUGGAGAAAAUAGAGGACGAAUGGAAGAAAGAAUUCCAGGAUGCCAUCAGCCCAAGGAGAUGGAUGCCAGCAGAGGCUCACACGAUUGGCUUCAAGCUUCCAAACAGCCCAAGUAAAGACGGAAAUGUGAGUGGUAACGAAAUUCCAGGUUUUUUAAAUGAGAAAAACAAAGUAGUUAGUUAUUCAGAAGCACAACUUCUCCUGACCCUGAGACCAGAGAGAGAUUUUUUCCUGUGGGUCCUUGGAGAGAGGACAUUGACGGAAGAGUGAAACAAACACCAGGAAGGUCAUUGGAGCUGUUUCUAUGAUAUCCUUCUAUGCAGGCCUAUGGCAUGAUGCUAAAGUGCAGUUGAGGAAAGGCAGUUCUGUGGGGCUCGAACACUGGGUUUCCAGGACAUAGUAAAUUCACUGCUGUGUGCCUUGUAUUUUCAAACAGAGAAAUCUGCACACACCCUUUCUUCCCCUGGGUUUGGGUGGAGUUUGGGGAGAGGGAGCUCUCCAUGGAGCCUGUGGUAACCAGUCCCCUAGAUGGCCCCCAAUGACCCCCACCUCCUGGUUUUCAUACCUUUGUAGAGUCCCCUCCCACACUGUACCAGGGGCUGGUCUGUGUGACCAGCAGAGUACAGGAGAAGUGGUGGCAUGUCAGUUCUGAGAUUAGAUUAUAAAAGCCAUCAUAGCUUCUCGCUUGGUACCUCUGUCUCUGUCUUGUCUCUCUCUUUCUGUCAAAUCAUUUGCUCUGGGCGAAGCCAGCUGCCACGUCAUGAGGAGUCCUAUGGAGAGACUCAUGAAGCAAAGAGCUGAGGCCUCUUGGCAGCAGCCAGCAUCAACUGGCUAGUCAUGUGUGUGAGCCACUUUGGAAGGAGAUGCUCCAGCCCCGGUCAAGCCUUCAGAUGACUGCAGCCCCAACUGACACCUUGACUGAGACUUUAUGAGAGACCCUGGGCCAGACCAUCCAGCAAAGUCAGUCCUUACCUCGGUCUGUGAACAAGGCGGUUCUCUCUGUCCUGUGCCUGGAGCUCAUCUCCUGCAAAUGCGUUCCCAAAAAGUGGAACGCUUAGCCUAAUGCCUUUGAAAUGGGAACUGUUGCGAGAUCUAAGUGGCCUCUUCAAACUCAAGAUGCAAACACACUGUGCUGUUGGAGGCUGCGUGGAGCUGAGACUAUGUCCAUGGAGUCUCAUGAUUUUUGAUUCAAAUGCUCUAGGCCUACCUACUACGGCUCUUAAUGAAAGUUUUAAAAAAUUUUUGUUUAAAGAUGUAUUUAGUCUUAUUUCUGUGUAAUAAAGCAUUUGGCUGGCCUUUG